rnacentral:rRNA from 1 species
UACCAGACUCCUACGGGAGGCAGCAGUGAGGAAUAUUGGUCAAUGGGCGAGAGCCUGAACCAGCCAAGUCGCGUGAGGGAGUACUGCCCUAUGGGUUGUAAACCUCUUUUGCCGGGGAGCAACGGGCGCCACGUGUGGCGCCACUGAGAGUACCCGGAGAAAAAGCAUCGGCUAACUCCGUGCCAGCAGCCGCGGUAAUACGGAGGAUGCGAGCGUUAUCCGGAUUUAUUGGGUUUAAAGGGUGCGUAGGCGGAGCGUUAAGUCAGUGGUCAAAUUGAGGGGCUCAACCUCUUCGAGCCGUUGAAACUGGUUUUCUUGAGUGAGCGAGAAGUAUGCGGAAUGCGUGGUGUAGCGGUGAAAUGCAUAGAUAUCACGCAGAACUCCGAUUGCGAAGGCAGCAUACCGGCGCUCAACUGACGCUCAUGCACGAAAGUGUGGGUAUCGAACAGGAUUAGAUACCCGGGUAUUU